AGCGAGCGAGAAGAAUCCGUUGGGCCCGGGGGCGCCCGCGCGGCAACUGCACCGCGGGGGAGCCCAGUCGCCCCGCUCACCCGGUCUUGCUAUGUUGCCGGGACUGGUUUUGAGCUCCUGGGCUCAAGCGAUCCGCCCACCUCAGCCUCCUGAGUGGCCGGGACUACAGGAAAGCACUACCAUGCAUGCUGAGGCCUUGAUUUUAACCCAGUGAGCUGUAUUUCUGAACUUCAGAACUGUAAGCUUCCUGAAUCCCAUGGCUUCCUCAGGAUACUCUGCUCUUUUACUGAUGGAGUGCAUGCUCUAAUAACUCCUCAAGAAAAGGUGUCUGGCAGGUAAGCUUUCUGAGUCUUUGCAUGUGUAACAAUG